rnacentral:lncRNA from 1 species
GCCAAGUCCAAGAACCACACCACACACAACCAAUCCCCAAAAUGGCAGAGUUACAGACACACAAAUCUCUUAAGGAGUUGACCCCAAGUUCCUGAGGAACACGCACUUUGCCAAGAAGCACAACAGCAAGGCCUGAGGAAGAUGCAGACACUGUAAAUGCAACGAGUGGAUGAGCAGAGGCCAUCAAGGCCGUGUGAAGCCUAAGAUGGUUAAGCCGGGUGUGCCAGAGGCCUCACCGCAACCUCAGCCGCCUGGCUUUCCCUGCUCACCCCAAGCUUGGGAACUGGAUUUGAAGCUACACGGCCAAGGACCAUAGGCUCUGACAACCAAAGCCCAGGGGUCAAACCAAGACAGAGGCUGCAGCUCCAGCUAAGGCCCAGCUUCAGCUCCAGCUCAGGCUCCCAAAGGUGCCGGGCCCCAGUGAAGGCCU